UACGAAGGGGGCUAGCGUUGCUCGGAGUUACUGGGCGUAAAGCGCACGUAGGCGGCUUCUUAAGUCGGGGGUGAAAUCCUGGAGCUCAACUCCAGAACUGCCUUCGAUACUGGCGAUCUUGAGUCCGGAAGAGGUGAGUGGAACUCCUAGUGUAGAGGUGGAAUUCGUAGAUAUUAGGAAGAACACCAGUGGCGAAGGCGGCUCACUGGUCCGGUACUGACGCUGAGGUGGCG
rnacentral:rRNA from 1 species